UUGUGCCACCCAAUACUUUUUGUUGAAGAAGCCCUUUCAUUCUCUAGGGUACAUGGAAAAUGUGCACAUUAAAAGCUAGAGUCGAUCUCCGCCUGAUAUCAGCUUAAUGAGGAAAAUGAUGAAAACGUGAGGGCGUUCAAUACCAACUGGUAUCAAAAGUAUAGUUGGUUAACCAAGCCGCCUGUAUUGCUGGCCUUGCCUGCUUUUUGGAAAGUCUGAACCUUGGUCGAAAGGUGGGUACAGUGACCUGAAGAACAUCGAUCAUUCAGCUAAACUGCAAAACAAAUGUACGGAGCAUAUAAAUGCCCACAUCAGAUUCAAGUUUCUGGGAAAAAGCUGCAUCGAUCAUGACGAAGGUCUGCGUUUUCAAACUGCUACCAAGCUGCUUAUCAACACCACGGCGUUUUUGGACAUGCAAUAAUUUGCUUUUAGAGGACAUGACGAGAGGAUAAACUCUGCCAACAAGGUCAACUACAAGGAGCUUGCAGAGCUAACUCCCCUCCUGUUCCCUGAUUAAGAGUCAAAUCCUGUCCGGCACUUGUCAAGCCUCUGAACACCUCAGCUCAUGCCUCAGCUCAUGCCUCAUACCCUCAUUCAAUCACUGCUGUGAUCCCUUUCCACCACUGUUGCAUUCCGAGCCUAUACCGUGGGUCUCCCAUCCUCCUCAAUUAUUCAAGUCACCAGUCUCCAAUGGUCUUCACUAUUAUUCUACAAUGUAGAAAAUAGUAAAAAUAAAGACAA